AGGGGGAGGAGGCGGCGUCCCGCACUGUCUCACCGCAGGACCGACCUCGGCGCUUAUCUGCUCGGGCAGCUUCCGCCCCCCCAGCCCAGCCCCCCGCCGCAAGCCGGGCCCCCGCCCCCCGCCUCCGGAGCGCCCGCAGGGGGGGGCGGGGAGGGGCCCUCCCCCGUCGCCCGCCCCCAGGGAGCGCCGAGCCGCAGCGGGCCGCUGCCCGGCCGAGCGGAGAGGGGCCCGGCCCCCAGAAGAGGAAGCACAAGUGUUCGGUGACCGUCUGAGGGAUGCUCCCGCUCAUUGGUGUUGAAGGAACCACAAGGACGACCAGGAGGUUGCUGCCCGCCAGUGGACUCCAUGGAAAGCCCUGAGAAGGAGGCCCACAUUCUGGAAGCAGAGAAAAUGUGCAUCAACCCCCAGCCUAGUGCAUCUAGCA